rnacentral:sRNA from 1 species
CGAUAACCACGAAUGACCCUGACCGCGA